rnacentral:lncRNA from 1 species
AUGAACAGAAGACUGAGAAUGCUUACCUGCCUUCCCAUAGAAACACUGCUGUCCGUUAAAGCAGCAGUUGAUAGCUUCACACUCAGCACCACUGAUCCCAGGUUGUCCACAUUUGAUCUGCUCAUUAUCAGCUACAGCACAUUUAUCAAGGGGCUCUGCCUGCACCACUGGCUUCUGAAACUGCUGGCUAGUUUGUUGAGCUGGCUUCUGCGGCCAAAACUGCGGGCUAGUUUGAGCUGGCUUCUGCGGCUGAAACUGCUGGCUAGUUUGUUGAGCUGGCUUCUGCGGCUGAAACUGCUGGCUAGUUUGAGCUGGCUUCUGAAACUGAAACUGCUGGUUAGUUUUCAGGAUCAUCAGGGCUUGAAGGUUCUGAGGCACAUCACUCCACUGUGGAACAUCAUGACAAAAUCUGAACCAAACACCAACUUCCAGCCAUUGUUCAGUAUUGAGAUAUUGUCCUUUGGUCUUUUUGUAUUCUACAGAUUUUAG